UAUUGGACAAUGGUCGAUAGCCUGAUCGAGCCAUGCCGCGUGUGUGAAGAAGGACUUCGGUUUGUAAAGCACUUUAUGUUGGGAGGAAGAGUAGUAAGUUAAUACCUUGCUGUUUUUACGUUACCGACUAAAUAAGCACUGGCGUACUUCUUGACAGCAGCCGCGGUAAUACGAAGGGUGCAAGCGUUAAUCGGAAUUACUGGGCGUAAAGAGCGCGUAGGUUAUUUGUUAAGUUGGAAGUGAAAGCCCCGAGCUCAACCUGGGAACUGCUUGCAAAACUGGCUAGCUAGAGUAUGGCAGAGGGUGGUGGAAUUUCCUGUGUAGCGGUGAAAUGCGUAGAUAUAGGAAGGAACACCAGUGGCGAAGGCGACCACCUGGGCUAAUACUGACACUGAGGUGCGAAAGCGUGGGGAGCAAAC
rnacentral:rRNA from 1 species